AAUGGAAAUGUGUGUGUGUGUGUGUGUUUUUUUCCAUCUUUGUUGAUACGUAAUCUCUUUAGUCGGCCUUCAAAUUCCCUGCGUUAUCUUCAAAAUUGAAGGAAUUUCAUCAAAGAAUCUUUGUAUUUGGAGAGGAUUUAUAUGCUUGAAUGAUAGCAGUUAGCCAACCUCACACCUCACCCGUAAGCCAAGCAAAGGAACAAAAGCAAGGUAUGGAGAAAGGAGAAAAUGAAGCUGAUGAUAUAACUAAAUCCAAUCAUGGCAAACUAUGCUACUCUCUUCUUCCCUGAUUUGAAGAGAUGUACAACAAGGCAAGUCAUAAAGGCAAAGGGAAGGUGACGCCUUUCUUCCGGGUUCCAUUCAUCGAGUUGCAUGUGUGCUGAUGAUUUAAGUGAGACUGAAGAACGCAACCUAUACUACUCGUCAAAGCUGAGGUAGCAAUUUUGUCUAAAGUGAUGAAAAAAUUAGGUGAAUGGCUAGUUACUUUCUCAAAUUUAUGGCAUAGUAAGGGUAUGUUUCGAUUAUAGCGCACAGAGCAUAAAAAAAUGCUAAAUUACGAGUUUAAAUAUGAAUGAAUACGAACGGGAUGAGAUAUUUCACUCUUAUGAUCCAGUUCGUCCAAAACUGCAGGUCAUCAAUUCGUGAUAUUGUGUACAGGAUCUAUCUUUCAUAUCAUAUGGCAAAGUUCAUAAAAUUGUAAAUCGAGACACCAUAUUUUAAUUAAAAAAAUCGUUUUCAUAUA